rnacentral:rRNA from 1 species
GACGAACGCUGGCGGCGUGCUUAACACAUGCAAGUCGAACGGAGAAGCUCCAGUUUGCUGGGGUGGAUGAGUGGCGAACGGGUGAGUAACACGUGAGUAACCUGCCCCUGACUCUGGAAUAAGCGCUGGAAACGGCGUCUAAUACUGGAUACGAGAAGGGUCCGCAUGGGCACUUUCUGGAAAGUUGUUCGGUUGGGGAUGGGCUCGCGGCUUAUCAGCUUGUUGGUGAGGUAAUGGCUCACCAAGGCGUCGACGGGUAGCCGGCCUGAGAGGGCGACCGGCCACACUGGGACUGAGAGACGGCCCAGACUCCUACGGGAGGCAGCAGUGGGGAAUAUUGCACAAUGGGCGGAAGCCUGAUGCAGCGACGCCGCGUGAGGGAUGACGGCCUUCGGGUUGUAAACCUCUUUCAGCUGGGAAGAAGCGGAAGUGACGGUACCUGCAGAAGAAGCACCGGCUAACUACGUG